rnacentral:rRNA from 1 species
UGCCAGCCGCCGCGGUAAUACGGAGGGGGCUAGCGUUGUUCGGAAUUACUGGGCGUAAAGCGCGCGUAGGCGGGCUGGUAAGUUGGGGGUGAAAUCCCGGGGCUCAACCCCGGAACUGCCUCCAAAACUGCUGGUCUAGAGUUCGAGAGAGGUGAGUGGAAUUCCGAGUGUAGAGGUGAAAUUCGUAGAUAUUCGGAGGAACACCAGUGGCGAAGGCGGCUCACUGGCUCGAUACUGACGCUGAGACGCGAAAGCGUGGGGAGCAAACAGGAUUAGAUA